CCUACGGGAGGCAGCAGUGAGGAAUAUUGGUCAAUGGCCGCAAGGCUGAACCAGCCAAGUCGCGUGAGUGAUGACGGGCCUAUGGAUUGUAAACCUCUUUUGUCAGGGAGCAAAGGGCGCCACGUGUGCCGUUUUGCGAGUACCUGAAGAAAACGCAUCGGCUAACUCCGUGCCAUCAGCCGCGGUAAUACGGGGGAUGAGAGCGUUAUCCGGAUUUAGUGGGUUAAAGGGGUGCGGAGGCGGAAUGUAAAGUGAGCGGUAAAAUUUCGGGGCUAAACCCCGUAGUGCCGUUGAAACUGGCGUUCUUGAGUGAAGGAGAAGUAUGCGGAAUGCGUGGUGUAGCGGUGAAAUGCAUAGAUAUCACGAAGAACUCCGAUUGCGAAGGCAGCUUACCGGCGCGUAACUGACGUUCAGGCACGAAAGCGUGGGUAUCGAACAGGAUUAGAUACCCUGGUAGUC
rnacentral:rRNA from 1 species